AACGGCGAGUGAAGCGGUAACAGCUCAAAUUUGAAAUCUGGCCUCACGGUCCGAGUUGUAAUUUGUAGAGGAUGCUUCGAGCAUGGUCUGGCCUAAGUUCCUUGGAACAGGACGUCAUAGAGGGUGAGAAUCCCGUAUGCGGCCAGGUGCCUACGCUCAUGUGAAGCUCCUUCGACGAGUCGAGUUGUUUGGGAAUGCAGCUCAAAAUGGGUGGUAAAUUUCAUCUAAAGCUAAAUAUUGGCCAGAGACCGAUAGCGCACAAGUAGAGUGAUCGAAAGAUGAAAAGCACUUUGGAAAGAGAGUUAAACAGUACGUGAAAUUGUUGAAAGGGAAGCGCUUGCAACCAGACUUGCGCGCGGCCGAUCAUCCGGUGUUCUCACCGGUGCACUCGGCCGUGCUCAGGCCAGCAUCGGUUUUGGCGGCUGGAUAAAGGCCCUAGGAAUGUAGCUCCUCUCGGGGAGUGUUAUAGCCUAGGGUGCAAUGCAGCCUGCUGGGACCGAGGACCGCGCUUCGGCUAGGAUGCUGGCGUAAUGGUUGUAAGCGGCCCGUCUUGAAACACGGACCAAGGAGUCUAACAUCUAUGCGAGUGUUUGGGUGUCAAACCCAUACGCGUAAUGAAAGUGAACGGAGGUGAGAACCCUUAAGGGUGCAUCAUCGACCGGUCCUGAAGUUUACGGAAGGAUCUGAGUAAGAGCAUAGCUGUUGGGACCCGAAAGAUGGUGAACUAUGCCUGAAUAGGGUGAAGCCAGAGGAAACUCUGGUGGAGGCUCGCAGCGGUUCUGACGUGCAAAUCGAUCGUCAAAUU
rnacentral:rRNA from 1 species